UACGUAGGUGGCAAGCGUUAUCCGGAAUUAUUGGGCGUAAAGAGCGCGCAGGUGGUUGAUUAAGUCUGAUGUGAAAGCCCACGGCUUAACCGUGGAGGGUCAUUGGAAACUGGUCGACUUGAGUGCAGAAGAGGGAAGUGGAAUUCCAUGUGUAGCGGUGAAAUACGUAGAGAUAUGGAGGAACACCAGUGGCGAAGGCGGCUUCCUGGUCUGUAACUGACACUGAGGCGCGAAAGCGUGGGGAGCAAACAGGAUUAGAUACCCU
rnacentral:rRNA from 1 species